CUGAUAUAAAACAAUACAGCCAAAUUAUGGAAAGCAAGAAACAGGUGUCACUCAUAGCCUGCUAGUACUGGGCAGGGAUGUCUGCUACAAAUAUAAAUCUGUGAGUGCAGAAGAGCCUGGACAGUGCUACCAUCUAAUAGGUGUUCAGUGAUUGCAUAUUUGCUGAGUAUAUAAAUGGAAGACAAGAGUAUGAUCCCAUUUUCCAGAGGUGGAAACAGAGUCAGAAUGAUUAAAAAACUUGUCCAAGUCACAUAACUAGUGUAUUCAUCAGAUUCUUAAUAAUAAACAACAGAAAUCAACUUUGGAUGAUUUGAAAAAAAAAUAAAAAGGAAUGGCUACUGGAGAGUUCAUGGAAGGAAGACUCAGGCUUAGCAAAUGAGCUGGAAUAAGCAGGGGAAGAAGGCAGCUUUGACCGUGGGUGAAGGAAUUCGAGAAGCAGCCUGGUGAGGAUACUGCUGACAUCUGCUGAGUAGGGGACAUUGCAGAGUGUUCUGCUGUGGCCAUCACUGUCCCUGGGUGUCGGCACUUGCUAUUUCUGCUGCUGGCUUCAGCAACAUGACUUUGCCAUUGGCUUUCAUUGUCUGCAUCAUUAGUUUUUGGUUAAGUCUGCUUGGUUGUGACUUAGCUGCAAGGGAAUCUGGGAAACUCUGGAGUCUAGCAAAGCCCAAGAUCAAGGUUCUGGCAGCUUUGGUAUCUGCUGAGGGCUGCUUUCUGCUUCCAGGGUGAUGCCUCAUUGCUGGGUCCCAUAUCAUGGAAAGGGAGGAAGAAACAAACUUAUGCCUUCAAGCCAGUAAUCCCAAUGGUCUCCUGAAGGCCCCGCCUCUUGACACUUCUGCACUGCGGGUUCAGCUCCAUCAUGAAUUUUGGAAGAGACACAAAUGUUGG
rnacentral:lncRNA from 1 species